AUAGGCAUCGGUAAAUGAAAAGAGUAAUGAAACAGAAAGUCGAAAAUCAAAGCUAAUAUAUGAGGAAAUAAGCCAUCCCGCAGAAUGAGGCACUAAUAUGACCGAAAGUCUACAGAAACACCCCUCACGAUGAGAUACUUAAGCAGCUUAAAUGGAUAGUAAGACUGCUUAUGCUGCACUUUCUGAACGAACAAGUAAUGGAACCUAGAAUGGUACAAACCAUUUGAUGUUUGACAAACCAGCAGUACCAUUAAAAACUUAUUAAAAAGAAUCUGCAGAGGUAGUGUACAAGGUCGACCUCUAAAAUAUUUGCUCAUCUACUUUUACAGAUCACUUAUAGAACUCGAAAUCAGUGUCCGGCUUCUUCACAUUGGUCCUGUAACCCUUUUCAAAGUCCUUGGGGAGUAUGACAUAUCGAUUCUUUCGCACUGCAUGCAUACCUGCUUCCUGACAUAUAGCUGCAAUCUCAGCAGCACUAAUUUUAUCAGGGCGAGAAACAUAAUCUUCCAAGUCAACCUCGUCACCUAAGUUCAUCUUAGCAGUACAGACCUGAAAAACAAGCCUCUUUUGACGCCUAUCAGGCAAAGGAAAUUCAAUCUUCCGAUCAAGCCUUCCAGGACGCAGAAGUGCAGGGUCCAAAGUAUCAGCUCUGUUAGUUGCCAUGAUAACUUUCACAUUCACUGUCUGGUCAAAUCCGUCCAUCUGAUUAAGCAACUCCAUCAAGAUAC
rnacentral:misc_RNA from 1 species